AGCAGCCGCGGUAAUUCCAGCUCCAAUAGCGUAUAUUAAAGUUGUUGCAGUUAAAAAGCUCGUAGUUGAAUUUCAGGCCUGGCUGGACGGUCCGCCCUUCGGGUGAGUACUGUCUGUGGUCGGGUCCUACCUUCUGGCGAAGCGUCAUGGCCUUAACCGGCCGUGGCGGGGAACCAGGACUUUUACUGUGAAAAAAUUAGAGUGUUCAAAGCAGGCAAUCGCUUGGAUACAUUAGCAUGGAAUAAUGGAAUAGGACAAUGGUUCUAUUUGUUGGUUUCUAGGACCGUUGUAAUGAUUAAUAGGGAUAGUUGGGGGCAUUAGUAUUCAAUUGUCAGAGGUGAAAUUCUUGGAUUUAUUGAAGACUAACUACUGCGAAAGCAUUUGCCAAGGAUGUUAUCAUUAAUCAAGAACGAAAGUUAGGGGAUCGAAGACGAUCAGAUACCGUCGUAGUCUUAACCAUAAACUAUGCCGACUAGGAAUCGGGCGAUGUUGACAAAAUGACGC
rnacentral:rRNA from 1 species